CCUGCCUGAAUCCUUUUGUGUAGACAAAUCCGCUGAAGCCCUGCAGUUUUGUCUUAAUUUCUGGCUAGAUAAAAUUUGAUAGCGAUUGUGAGUUUUUGUGUAUUCCAAACUAAAAGCUAAAGGCUUGCUGUCACAGUGG
ensembl:snoRNA scaRNA:PsiU5-44 small Cajal body-specific RNA : PsiU5-44